UUCAUUUAAAUGCCAACAAUAUCUUUUAUCUGAGAAAACUUUGAAUUACUUUAGCUCCGAGGCUUUUGUAUGUUAGAAGGAGGCACUUUUCUUAUCCUUAAUGGACUAAAAUGAAGAAGAACGAAUAGCAAAACAAAGAAAAUUGCCAGUGGAGGAGGCUGUAUCUAACAAGAGAACGAUUUUCGGAUGAUAAAUAGUGGGAAGCAGACAUGUUGGCCGCAUUAAAGAUUGCGAGCCAAUGUCGAAAGUGAGAUACGUCCAUUCGAUAGCUGCUACUCUCAAGAGAAAGACAGAAAAAAAAGUCCUUUAACUUCCCAACUAACAUAAGAAUGGAAAAUUCAAGAUAAAGGCAGAAAAAAUAUUAUUGGAAAAAAAGCUUG